rnacentral:rRNA from 1 species
GAUGAACGCUGGCGGCGUGCCUAAUACAUGCAAGUCGAGCGAACAGAUGAGGAGCUUGCUCCUCUGACGUUAGCGGCGGACGGGUGAGUAACACGUGGAUAACCUACCUAUAAGACUGGGAUAACUUCGGGAAACCGGAGCUAAUACCGGAUAAUAUAUUGAACCGCAUGGUUCAAUAGUGAAAGACGGUUUUGCUGUCACUUAUAGAUGGAUCCGCGCCGCAUUCGCUAGUUGGUAAGGUAACGGCUUACCAAGGCAACGAUGCGUAGCCGACCUGAGAGGGUGAUCGGCCAGACUGGAACUGAGGCACGGUCCAGACUCCUACGGGAGGCAGCAGUAGGGAAUCUUCCGCAAUGGGCGAAAGCUUGACGGAGCAACGCCGCGUGAGUGAUGAAGGUCUUCGGAUCGUAAAACUCUGUUAUUAGGGAAGAACAAAUGUGUAAGUAACUAUGCACGUCUUGACGGUACCUAAUCAGAAAGCCACGGCUAACUACGUG